AUCACCCCUUUUUUGUUUUUAUUAGCGUUUUCCAUCCUGUCCCAACUUUUUCGGAAUUGCGGUUGUCAAAUUUCUAUUAGUUCUUGAAUAUAGCUGAUUCAUAAAUCCACCAAAGAGGCUUAUUAGGCUGAGAGUUUGGCUGCAGAUCCGGUUAUGACUCUGCCUUUUGGCCAACCGUUUAUUCGACAGUGAUAAAUAGGUGAAAAAUGCGCUGAAUGUUCAAAAGCCUGCAUGCUGGACAGAAUAUCAAAGGCCUGAAAAUGCAAUGGAGUGUUUCAGAGCCAGACUUUAGCUUUGAUUACAAAAACAACACACAGAGCCAGGAAUCGGUUAUGCUCCAGCGUGACGCAAAUCCGUCCCCUGUUCUAUUAACAUCUGCUUAUGGUCCUCUCAGUAGAUGACAUUUCCAGUGUGGCUAACACGAGCAAGAUUUUGCUGUGAAUUGACGUCAGUGUGACAGAGUUUCAGUUCCUCUUAAAAGUUUUUUUUAAAUAAAUAUCGAAUUUCACACCAGGGGAUGCAUGAAGAACUAUAUAAUUCUGUCUUAUUAUGCUGCCAGUGAUACAGUAGGUGGUGUGUGUUUGUGUGUGUCUGGGCUACAGUAGAGUCAUGCUUCAAUUAAACGGGUCACGGGGGAACCUGGAGUCUAUCCCAGGGAGCACUGGGCACAAGGCGGGGUACACCCUGGACAGGGUGCCAAUCCAUUGCAGGACAACAAUCACAUACACACUCACACACCCAUUCAUACACUACGGACACUUUAGACACGCCAAUCAUCCUACCAUGCAUGUCUUUGGACUGGGGGAGGAAACCGGAGUACCCGGAGGAAACCCCCGCAGCACGGGGAGAACACGCAAUCUCCGCACACACAGGGCCACGGUGGGAAUCGAACCCCCGACCCUGGAGGUGUGAGCCGAACGUGCUACAUCAAUAAAACAUGAUUAAACAAAUUAAGAGGAGUAUUUGUUUGACAUUCAGGUGUUUAAAUAUGGAACUGUUUGUAAAGAUGACUUCGUUGACCUACUAUGAACAACAUUAUAAUGCUGUUAGUGAGCAAAUCAAUGUCAUUCGUCACAUGUAUAAUCAGCUGCGCUGCAUUUGUGUUAUGUCCACCAUCAGAAAAUAAACAUUUGGAACUGUUAGAAAAUAUUUCAAGGGAGUUCAAACCUGAACAUCUAACUGGGGAAGCGAGAGACUUUCUGCAAGUCUGAUCCACACACUUUUUUUAAUUUAAGUGUUCAUUUGUGUGUGAUAAAAUGUCUGCAUGUUCCCCCCGUAUUAAAACCCUUGUGCUGGAUUCUCCAUGCACUAAUAUGCUA